GCAACAGUUCCUCAUGCCUUGUUUGAAGCUGCUAAGCAGUUCGUGUUCCAUUUUAAGAAAUGGCUAGUUUAUUUUCGAAUUCAUUAUUGAGGCUACUAAUAUUUAUGUACGCCAUUCAAAGCGAAAUUGAAACUGCGGGUUGUGGAUCUAAAAAAAUUAGUUGUGUAACGAAAACAACUUACAAGGAAUGUUCGACUUUCUUGUUUAUAUGGCAAAUACCUACUGGGAGUGAGAUAGCCUGCGAAGAGGGAUAUACCUGUAAUGAAAAUGAAGGAGACAUGCCAUUCAAUGCGAUUUAGGGAACUGUAACGCUACCGCUAAACCGUUAAAACGACGCCGCAGGAAAGAAGAAAAAAUUGGAAAAAUCAAGACAAAACAGAUUUAAUAUACUGAUUCUAGCAAACCUUGAAAAACACAUCUUCAAAGAAAACAACAAGUCUCUUCCUUUUGGUAAAGAUAAAGUGUGUUGGAUGUGCAUUGGUCUCUAAUGUCGUCACUAGGAGGCGUGAUUUAAAAUACUUUUCAUUGUUAACAAUUAUUGAAUUAUCUUCAUUCGUUCGGAUCAAAGGAUUGGAAUACCAAGAAGCAAAAUAUAUUUUCUUGGAUGCUUAGUCGAACAUUUUACUACAGUUCCCUCAAGUACCAAAGCAACGGUAAAAAUAAUAAACGCUACGUCCCACGCUGCCGCAACUGCUGCCGAUUACAGCCAAACCGUCGUAACUACGACAAGGGCAAUAGUACUUACGACGAUGGAGCCUACAAAUAUCACCAAUGAAAAGAAUAAUAUUAACCAAACGCCAACUCCAGGGAUUACAAGCGUUUCCAUCUUCGAAAUAUUUUCUACACCUACAAAAGGUGAAAUGGCUACCAUGAUCAAUUUAGAUGGUCACAACACUUGAAGCCGUGAACCGAAAAAAGAUAGUGACAGUUCAACAAUGGUCGUUAUUGACAUAAUAAAUGCGGUAACCGAAAUAAUCACAAAAGAAAAACAAAGUACCGCGAAAAUACCAACUUCAGAUGGUGGCACGUCACUCUCCCAUGUUACCCUCAUCUCGUCUGUUUUCACUUUUUGUUUGCUUGAUAUCGUGAUAUAGUUUUGUUUUCCUACAACCAUUUUUAUUUGUUUCAACAGUUGUAUUUUUUAAGUUUAAUAAAGCUUUUGCAUGUGUGUUAUCUUAAAGCUCCCUCUUGAUUUUUAUAAAUUAAAUAAUUAUAAAUCAAAAUUACAGUUAAUAAGUACAAAACCCGUUAGUUUAACCGAGGUUUUAAGCUGAAAUUUGUACAUUUGUAAGUUCCUUCGGAAUACUGGCAAAAAAAAAAUAAAAUCAUACAUCCUCAGGUUUAAAGAUUUGAAUUUCACCGAAGUACGCGCAAUAUGUGUGUUAUUUAUCUGUGUUAUAUA